rnacentral:rRNA from 1 species
AGCGAACGCUGGCGGCAGGCCUAAUACAUGCAAGUCGAACGGCUCUUCGGAGCAGUGGCGGACGGGUGAGUAACGCGUGGGAACGUGCCCUUUGGUUCGGAACAACACAGGGAAACAUGUGCUAAUACCGAAUGUGCUCUUCGGGGGAAAGAUUUAUCGCCAUUGGAGCGGCCCGCGUUGGAUUAGGUAGUUGGUGGGGUAAAGGCCUACCAAGCCUACGAUCCAUAGCUGGUCUGAGAGGAUGAUCAGCCACACUGGGACUGAGACACGGCCCAGACUCCUACGGGAGGCAGCAGUAGGGAAUCUUGCGCAAUGGGCGAAAGCCUGACGCAGCCAUGCCGCGUGAAUGAUGAAGGUCUUAGGAUUGUAAAAUUCUUUCACCGGGGAAGAUAAUGACGGUACCCGGAGAAGAAGCCCCGGCUAACUUCGUGCCAGCCGCCGCAGUAAAAC